UCCGUAGGCGGGCGACUAAGUCAGAGGUGAAAUCCCACAGCUUAACUGUGGAACUGCCUUUGAUACUGGUUGUCUUGAGUUAUAGUGAAGUAGAUAGAAUAUGUAGUGUAGCGGUGAAAUGCUUAGAUAUUACAUAGAGUACCGAUUGCGAAGGCAGUCUACUAACUAUAUACUGACGCUAAUGGACGAAAGCGUGGGGAGCGAACAGGAUUAGAUACCCUGGUAGUCC
rnacentral:rRNA from 1 species